rnacentral:tRNA from 1 species
GGACGGAUGGCGGAACUGGCAGACGCGUACGGCUUAGGACCGUAUGGAGAAAUCCUUGAGGGUUCAAGUCCCUCUCCGUCCA